UACAGAUUACUAAGCUUUAUUUAAACGUCUCAUUUUUACAAGAUGAUAUCUCGAUGGGAAGUGUCUAAACCGCCUGGCUUAAGAAAACAAUCAACAAGGUGCAAUUAUUUCGAAAUCUAUCAUGAAACACAGAAUGGAUAAAUAUAUUGUUUAUACAAAGUGUUAAUUAUGAUAUUGAGAACAAAUAACGCCAUCAAUACGUGGAUGAUUCUAAAAAAAGCAACGGUGAUCCAUAUAAAAUAAACUGGACGUGAAUCAUUCAAUAGGAUUGUCAAUAAGUAGGGAUAUUGGUCGUGUAUAACGCACAUCCGUUUUCCAAACAUACACAACGUUGAUCUACAAUUAUAGUCGGGCUUUGGAAACCAUGAUCGUGAAAAACGAAAACGGUCGUACAUCUGAAAUCUGUACUAAACCCAGUUCAGACUACGGAGGCCGAUUUUAGUACAAUUGAAAUAGUGAUCGAAGCGGACGCUUCUCAACUGCUUAAAUUUGUGAUUUUGUGUGAUUCUUGUUAACAUUAUUUUUUUUGCAGGAAUUAUUGCCGUUCUUGAUACAUUGAUAUUCGGAUUAGAACAGUAUGUAAUUGGAACAGUUUAUAUAACGAUUGGGAAUAUCGAUUACGCAUUUUGUUAUUAAAUCCAAAUAUCAGACUGGGUCUUCGUGGCAAUGCAAACAAUACACGAAACAAAUCAGUCAACAAUGCAUAAUAGCCUAAACGUGAUUUCGGACAUCAUUCGGAAACUCAUAAACUACGUCAGUGCCAUGGACUAUGUCGUAUUUGGUUGUGUAUACCCAGCUGCAGAAGUAAUCUACUGCUAUGGAAUGCAGGCGAUGACUGCACGUUUACAGUACUUAGUUCGUGGUAUUUGGUUUCUUUUAUUUAUAUCCGUUCCAAUUGACCUUUGGUUGGCAAUUCAAAGAAUGUUUAGAAAUAGAGGUAGGCAACAGUUCUAUAAAGAGAAACGCCAGACUCGGAACAAGUAUCAGUUCAACAACAAACGACAAAAAAGUGAGUGAUAUGUUUUGAAGAAAGUACUUUCGUUACUAUUUACCGUGUAUGCACGCGAAAAUUUGCCGAACGUGUGUUUUCCGGUUGCAGGAAGAUAACAAUAUGUGCACUUUGUGUAGGGAGGUGGAAUAACAGAAGUAAAAUCCCAUGGAUGAAAAGUUAAUGGUGUUAUGGUAAAAUACAGUGUUUUGUGUACAAAAUAUAAUACAUUUACUUAUGUUAUGUCUUAUUAGACUUAUGUUAUCUAUUUAUAUUUCGCGUAGUAAGUUGACACACAAUUUUGAAAAGAUAUUGUUCAUGCCUUAGUGUUAGUUCAAUAUCAAAAUUUGAUCAUUUAUGUGAUCUUUGACAAAUAUUUGUAAUAAAUGAUUUUUUAUAAAUUAACUAUAUAGGAUUUAAAAUAUUUAUACCGUAAUUACUCUAUGUUUUCGGACACCCCCUUUUUUAGCAAAAAUAAUUAUUUUUCGUGACUUUAUUUUCGGACACACGAGUUUUCGUCCAUUAUUUAUGUCUCUAAGUUUUCGGACAGAAUAUUUUACAGCGCUAUUUUACCAAAUUUCGAACCUGUUUUUGAUAUCUAAUGAAACUUCGAGCAUGGGGUUUUACAACCAGAUUAACAUCAUAAAACAUUGCGGGUGUAUGCCUGAGGGCGAUAAACCAUAACAUUUGCGUUAUUGGGUAAAUAACCUUGUAAACCGGUAUUAAACAAUGGUUUCGCCCGAAAGCAUAAGCGUUAUGACAAUUACCAGGGGUAGUGCCAAUUAACAGUUCAAUUAUCUACCGCAAUUGUACUACCCGUUCUCAGUAAAAUAACUGUGACAAAAUGCUUAAUGUUUCAAAGUGUGAUGCACCGUAUUACACGUUUUACGAACAAUGGAAGCUGUUACACAACAACUAUCGGAAAUGAACAAACAAAGAAUUCAUAUUAGUUUGCUUUUUUUAUUGCGUUAAUUAGAGGUUGAUACAAGCCUGUGUCGGUACAUCACAUGCUCAUUUUUGAACUCAUUGGUCAAAGUACAACCUUGUAGUAACUUUCUGUCAAAUAAAUUAAGCAUUUACAAUUAUUUAAAAUGCAGUGCAAACAUGUAUAACUGUAAUUUAUACUAUACGGCAUGAUAUUUUACAAGCGCAUGCUAUUACCGGUAGUCGUUGAUACAAUUUACGCUAUUUUCGGACACUUCCAUUUUCGACACCUGUAUUUUGUUAAUAUUUUUCGUAUCUAAGUUUUCGGACACGAAAAAAAAAUAAUUAUUUUUAAGUGUCCGAAAACAAAGAGAAAUUACGGUUAGUAAACAUACAAAAAGAAGACAGUCUCACCACAGUCCGCCUAAAAAGUAACUCAUAUUAACUUAAACUACAGAAAAUGUUUUGUUGUCCCCGUUGUUAAGCAAUGUCUUCAAGAGAGGGGGUAUUAAAUAUAAUUUCAAUGUUUUAUGUGCAUAUAAAGCAUUUUCUUUUGCAUUUUGAUUCUUGACAAAUUUAUAGAGCACUAUUACAACCCGUUUUGUAAUAAAAACCCGAAUUGUAAUAAUUAUUACAAAGUAGGCUGCGAUGCAUUAUUACAUUUCAGGUCGACAGUAACAACCCGUUUUGUAAUAAAAACCCGAAAUGUAAUAAAUGUUAUCAUGUCCAUUAAACAGAGAUACAGACUUUUUUAGAAGUUAUUUUCAUGUUUAAAUUAGUUUGAGAGUAGGUAUUGACUGUUCCCCCGACCUUUGUUCUUACAGACUCCAUCAACAAAUCAUGAAUGUAAUACUUUAUUACAAAGUGGGUUGCGAUGCAUUAUUACAUUUCGGGUCGACAGUAAGAACCCGUUUUGUAAUAAAAACCCGAAAUGUAAUACAUUUGUAUCAUGUCCAUUUAAUCCGAGAUACAGACUUUUUUAGAAGUUAUUUUCAUGUUUAAAUUAGUUACAUAGUAGGUGUUGACUGUUCCCCCGAUCUUUGUUCUUAUAGACUCCAUCAGCAAAUCAUAAAUGUAAUAAUUUAUUACAAAGUGGGUUGCGAUGCAUUAUUACAUUUCGGGUCGACAGUAACAACCCGUUUUGUAAUAAAAACCCGAAAUGUAAUCAUUUGUAUCAUGUUCGAUAAAGUCCCAGAUACAGUCGUGUUUAAAUUCAAUUUCAAGUUUAAAUUAGUUUUAGAGUAGGCAUUGACACUGUUUAGAGUAGGUAUUUAGAAUAGGUAUUAAGGGUAGGUAUUCCCCCGACCUUUGUUCUUAUAGACUCCAUCAACAAAUCAUGAAUGUAAUAAUUUAUUAUAAAGUGGGUAGAGUUGCAUUAUUACAUUUCGGGUCGACAGUAACAACCCGUUUUUUAAUAAAAACCCGAAAUGUUAUAAAUUGUAUCAUGUCCAUUAAUUCACCAGACCUUAGUUCUAAUAUUGUUUCAUCAAACAAUGAUAAAUGUAAAAAGAUAUUACUAAGU